UUACGGUCAAAUCACGCCGAAAACAUCAGUUCUCAUUUGAUCACCGAAGUUAAGCAGUGUCGACUUCGAUCAAUACUUAGAUGGGGAACCGAUGGGAACACUGGGUGCUGUAAG